rnacentral:rRNA from 1 species
UACGGGGGGGGCAAGCGUUGUUCGGAAUUACUGGGCGUAAAGGGCUCGUAGGUGGCCAACUAAGUCAGACGUGAAAUCCCUCGGCUUAACCGGGGAACUGCGUCUGAUACUGGAUGGCUUGAGUUUGGGAGAGGGAUGCGGAAUUCCAGGUGUAGCGGUGAAAUGCGUAGAUAUCGUAAGGAAGACCAGUGGCGAAGGCGGGUCUCUGGACAGUUCCUGACGCUGAGGCACGAAGGCCAGGGGAGCAAACGGG